GACGUAGGGCGCGAGCGUUGUCCGGAAUUAUUGGGCGUAAAGGGCUCGUAGGCGGUUUGUCGCGUCGGGAGUGAAAAUCCAGGGCUUAACUCUGGACUGGCUUUCGAUACGGGCAGACUAGAGGUAUGCAGGGGAGAACGGAAUUCCGGGUGUAGCGGUGAAAUGCGUAGAUAUCCGGAGGAACACCGGUGGCGAAGGCGGCUUCCUGGACCGACACUGACGCUGAGGCGCGAAAGCUAGGGGAGCAAACGGG
rnacentral:rRNA from 1 species